GAGGAGCCCAGCACUGGAAGUCGGAGGUGUUUCCAUUCGGUGAUCAACACUGAACACAGAGGACUCACCAUGGAGUUUGGGCUGAGCUGGGUUUUCCUUGUUGCUCUUUUAAGAGGUGUCCAGUGUCAGGUGCAGCUGGUGGAGUCUGGGGGAGGCGUGGUCCAGCCUGGGAGGUCCCUGAGACUCUCCUGUGCAGCCUCUGGAUUCACCUUCAGUAGCUAUGGCAUGCACUGGGUCCGCCAGGCUCCAGGCAAGGGGCUGGAGUGGGUGGCAUUUAUAUCGUAUGAUGGAAGUAAUAAACACUAUGCAGACUCCGUGAGGGGCAGAUUUACCAUCUCCAGAGACAAUUCCAAGAACACGCUGUAUCUUCAAAUGAACAGACUGAGAGCUG
rnacentral:lncRNA from 1 species